AAUACGUUCUCGGGCCUUGUACACACCGCCCGUCACGUUAUGAAAGCUGGUUAUACCCAAAGUCAUUAAAUUAACCAUUUAAUUGGAGAAAAGUGCCAAAGGUAGAACGAGUAAUUGGAACGAAGUCGUAACAAGGUAACCGUACUGGAAGGUGCGGUUGGAUCACCUCCUUA
rnacentral:rRNA from 1 species